rnacentral:sRNA from 12 species
CAUCGCACCCAUGCAGAUCGGCAACGUGCUUGCCCAUCGUACAUGCGAGAACCCUGAGCCUCGGCAACAGCACAAUAUUGUGGAAAGCCGAAACAUAAAUAGGAGUCCUGAAGGCUUAUGAAUGAUUUUAAGACAUUGAACAAUUUGGUCCCG